AUUGAACGCUGGCGGCAGGCCUAACACAUGCAAGUCGAGCGGAUGAAGGGAGCUUGCUCCUGGAUUCAGCGGCGGACGGGUGAGUAAUGCCUAGGAAUCUGCCUGGUAGUGGGGGAUAACGUCCGGAAACGGGCGCUAAUACCGCAUACGUCCUGAGGGAGAAAGUGGGGGAUCUUCGGACCUCACGCUAUCAGAUGAGCCUAGGUCGGAUUAGCUAGUUGGUGGGGUAAAGGCCUACCAAGGCGACGAUCCGUAACUGGUCUGAGAGGAUGAUCAGUCACAUUGGAACUGAGAAACGGUCCAGACUCCUACGGGAGGAAGCAGUGGGGAAUAUUGGACAAUGGGCGAAAGCCUGAUCCAGCCAUGCCGCGUGUGUGAAGAAGGUCUUCGGAUUGUAAAGCACUUUAAGUUGGGAGGAAGGGCAGUAAGUUAAUACCUUGCUGCUUUGACGUUACCAACAGAAUAAGCACCGGCUAACUUCGUG
rnacentral:rRNA from 1 species